CUACUCUCUGGAUGGCACCUGGAGAGUUUCCAGUCCUCUACCAGUCUCGGCUAUGGGAGGGAGAGUCAAGCAGAGGCCUACCCAUUCCAUUCCCAGCUUGGACAGGGGCUAACGAGUGGAAGACAAUCUGCUACAAGG
rnacentral:snoRNA from 2 species